GACAGAGGGUGCAAACGUUGUUCGGAUUUACUGGGCGUAAAGCGCGUGUAGGCGGCUUGGCAAGUCGGAUGUGAAAGCCCACGGCUCAACCGUGGGAGCGCAUCCGAAACUGCUUCGCUCGAGUCUCGGAGAGGAAGGUGGAAUGCUUGGUGUAGAGGUGAAAUUCGUAGAUAUCAAGCAGAACACCUGCGGCGAAGGCGGCCUUCUGGACGAUGACUGACGCUGAGACGCGAAAGCGUGGGGAGCAAACAGG
rnacentral:rRNA from 1 species